rnacentral:rRNA from 1 species
AGCGAACGCUGGCGGCAGGCCUAACACAUGCAAGUCGAACGAAGUCUUCGGACUUAGUGGCGGACGGGUGAGUAACACGUGGGAACGUGCCUUUAGGUUCGGAAUAACUCAGGGAAACUUGUGCUAAUACCGAAUGUGCCCUUCGGGGGAAAGAUUUAUCGCCUUUAGAGCGGCCCGCGUCUGAUUAGCUAGUUGGUGAGGUAAAGGCUCACCAAGGCUACGAUCAGUAGCUGGUCUGAGAGGAUGACCAGCCACAUUGGGACUGAGACCCGGACCAAACUCCGUCGGGAGGCAGCAGUGGGGAAUCUUGCGCAAUGGGCGAAAGCCUGACGCAGCCAUGCGGCGUGGAUGAUGGAGGUCGUAGGAUUGUAAAAUCCUUUCACCGGUGAAGAUAAUGACUGUAGCCGGAGAAGAAGCCCCGGCUAACUUCGUGCCAGCCGCCGCAGUAAUAC